rnacentral:snRNA from 1 species
GUGCUGGCUUUGGCAGCACAUAUACUAAAAUUGGAACAACACAGAGAAGAUUGACAUGGCCCCUGCACAAGGAUAGAAGAUGUGGAGAAGUAGGAACACUCCUU